rnacentral:rRNA from 1 species
UGGGGAAUAUUGGACAAUGGGCGCAAGCCUGAUCCAGCCAUGCCGCGUGAGUGACGAAGGCCUUAGGGUUGUAAAGCUCUUUUUGGCGGGGAAGAUAAUGACGGUACCCGCAGAAUAAGCUCCGGCUAACUUCGUGCCAGCAGCCGCGGUAAUACGAAGGGAGCUAGCGUUGUUCGGAAUCACUGGGCGUAAAGCGCACGUAGGUGGGCAGUUAAGUCAGGGGUGAAAGCCCGAGGCUCAACCUCGGAAUUGCCUCUGAUACUGGCUGUCUAGAGUUCGAGAGAGGUGAGUGGAAUUCCUAGUGUAGAGGUGAAAUUCGUAGAUAUUAGGAAGAACACCGGUGGCGAAGGCGGCGUCACUGGCUCGAUACUGACACUGAGGUGCGAAAGCGUGGGGAGCAAACAGGAUUAGAUACCCACGUAGUCCCUGAGCGGGCUGGCAAGGCGCAU